GGAGGGGUGCCGGAGCGGUCCAUCGGGAGGGUUUGCUAAACCCUUGAGCCUAACGGCUCACGUGGGUUCGAAUCCCACCCCCUCCGCCA
rnacentral:tRNA from 1 species